AUUUGUUACAGCAACAGAAAGCUGCCUACCAUAUUGUGGAGGGUUAAAGAAGGGCUGUCAGGGCUGGGCAUUUAGCUCAGAGCUGCCGCUGAGCAAGGUCCCAAGUUUGAUCCCCAGAACAAAAAAAAAAAAAAGAAAGGAUUGUCAGUCCCUGCUUGGACCUCUGCCUGGGGGGUUCUGGAGGCAAGGAAACCAAGAUUCAAUGAAUUUAAAUAUAUUUCCAAGAUCAAUAAGCAAUACACACAAAGAAGAGAAACUAAGAUAAAGGAAAUGUGAAGCAACUUGUGCUAGAAAGCCCAUAGGAAAAGCCUGAGGCCAAGUUGCAACAUCUAGGUCCCUUCUCAGACUGAUGCACAGUGGGCUGGAUCAGCUGAUAAAGCUUUCUUGAGAUGACACCCUAACCUGCUUUAACAACCCCAAAGUUCAUCUAAGGAAGUGAGAUUUUUUUUUCUUUCCUAAGUAACAGUCUGAGUUUGGGGUUUUCGGAUGGCCCUGCCAUUCAUUCCCAAGCCAGGAGCAUUUUCUGUGUAGUCCAAGCUGAGCUGCACAAAUCUGACCAUAUGUACUCAAGC
rnacentral:lncRNA from 1 species